rnacentral:rRNA from 1 species
CAGCAGCCGCGGGAAUACGAAGGGGGCUAGCGUUGCUCGGAAUGACUGGGCGUAAAGGGCGCGUAGGCGGUUUUGACAGUCAGAUGUGAAAUUCCUGGGCUUAACCUGGGGGCUGCAUUUGAGACGUCAAGACUAGAGUGUGAGAGAGGGUUGUGGAAUUCCCAGUGUAGAGGUGAAAUUCGUAGAUAUUGGGAAGAACACCGGUGGCGAAGGCGGCAACCUGGUCCUUGACUGACGCUGAGGCGCGAAAGCGUGGGGAGCAAACAGGAUUAGAUACCCCUGUAGUCCCUGUCUCUUAUAC